rnacentral:piRNA from 1 species
AUUCGGAGCUAACAAAAACAAACC